rnacentral:tRNA from 1 species
GCCUUCGUGGCGCAACGGUUAGCACACUCGGCGUGUAUUCAAGAUGUCCAGGUUCGAGUCCCGGCGAGGGCC